rfam:Schistosoma mansoni, Puerto Rico, WGS project CABG01000000 data, contig: 0097
GCGACCGUAGUGUGGCGGCUAUCAUGGCUGCCUUCUAAGCAGUCGAUCCGGGUUCGACUCCCGGCGUUUGCA